rnacentral:rRNA from 1 species
GAUGAACGCUGGCGGCGUGCCUAAUACAUGCAAGUCGAGCGAACGGACGAGAAGCUUGCUUUUCUGAUGUUAGCGGCGGACGGGUGAGUAACACGUGGAUAACCUACCUAUAAGACUGGGAUAACUUCGGGAAACCGGAGCUCAUACCGGAUAAUAUUUUGAACCGCAUGGUUCAAAAGUGAAAGACGGUCUUGCUGUCACUUAUAGAUGGAUCCGCGCUGCAUUAGCUAGUUGGUAAGGUAACGGCUUACCAAGGCAACGAUGCAUAGCCGACCUGAGAGGGUGAUCGGCCACACUGGAACUGAGACACGGUCCAGACUCCUACGGGAGGCAGCAGUAGGGAAUCUUCCGCAAUGGGCGAAAGCCUGACGGAGCAACGCCGCGUGAGUGAUGAAGGUCUUCGGAUCGUAAAACUCUGUUAUUAGGGAAGAACAUAUGUGUAAGUAACUGUGCACAUCUUGACGGUACCUAAUCAGAAAGCCACGGCUAACUACGUG